UACGUAGGGUGCAAGCGUUAAUCGGAAUUACUGGGCGUAAAGCGUGCGCAGGCGGUUUUGUAAGUCUGUCGUGAAAUCCCCCGGCUUAACCUGGGAACUGCGUCUGAUACUGGAAGGCUUGAGUAUGGGAGAGGGAUGUAGAAUUCCAGGUGUAGCGGUGAAAUGCGUAGAUAUCUGGAGGAAUACCGGUGGCGAAGGCGGCAUCCUGGACCAUUACUGACGCUGAGGCGCGAAAGCUAGGGGAGCAAACGGGG
rnacentral:rRNA from 1 species